GACGAACGCUGGCGGCGUGCCUAAUACAUGCAAGUCGAACGGAAAGGCCCUGAUUUUGUGGCGCGCUUGAGUGGCGAACGGGUGAGUAACACGUGAGUAACCUGUCCUUGACUUUGGGAUAACUUCAGGAAACUGGGGCUAAAACCCGAUAGGAGCUUUUGCUGCACAGUGGGCGAUGGAAAGAUCCGGCGGUGGGGGCAGGACUCGCGGCUUACCAGCUUGUUGGUGGGGUAGUGGCUUACCAAGGCUACGACGGGUAGCCGGCCUGAGAGGGUGACCGGCCACAUUGGGACUGAGAUAGGGACCAGACUCCUACGGGAGGCAACAGUGGGGAAUAUUACGCAAUGGGCGGAAGCCUGAUGCAGCAACGCCGCGUGCGGGAUGACGGCCUUCGGGUUGUAAACCGCUUUCGCCUGUGACGAAGCGUGAGUGACGGUAAUGGAUAAAGAAGCACCGGCUAACUACGUG
rnacentral:rRNA from 1 species